CUGUCACUUUUUGUUCCCAACCCUCCCAGGCCAUUCAGCGCUAAAUCACGAAACCCUAUCUUUCUCUCCCAAACUAUCCAUAUGUCGCCUCCGAAGAAGACAGCCGGCGAGGAUCCGAUGUUGCUGCACCUAUGAGUCACGUACCGUUGCCUUAUUAUUCUCUUUGAUUGUGGUUGCUUCUCCUCCUUUCUAUUGUUUUGAUAUGAAAAGAAUUAGGAUUUGAGGAUGCUUAAUUAUCAGGAUGUCAUCGGCAAACUCUACAAUUAGAUUUUGGGAUGCAUCGAGUUUGAUUCUAUUUUGCUGAUGCUACUUUUCUUGAGGGAAAUUCUAUUGUUGUUCCUCUGCUAGGAGUGUUGGCAUCGGUUUCUCUAGAGACCUCGAAGCUGCUCAUGCAAAGGCCAGUUGGAAGGAGAGGCGGUGUCAAUUACUCUAACAAAAGAGGGAAAACUACUUGCAAAUGCAUACCAUGUAUGGAAUUGGAUAUGUUCAGAAGAUAUCGGCUAUAAAGGGUCUUAAAACAAGAUGCAACCUGUGAUGAAACACAUUUAAGUCCUCAUGCUACUCAUUUUAAUAGGAUUAUCCAGUUGUGUACUCUUCAAUAGUAAGAGGAUAUUUUGUUGUCAUUCUUGUUAAUUAUUCAUUGGUAGCAAACAGAUUGUAAAUGGGCAUUUUCAGCUAAUUUAACCCCAAGGAGUUGGAAUGUAUUAUAGUUUUAGGCUACAAUAUUAAUGUGUGGCUGCUGUAAAUUUUUUUUAAAAAGAAUUCACAACAUUUACCGCGUUUUAUUUACCGAAAUGCAGCAAUUGAUAUUUA